AUCUGGGGGGCCCAAUAUAAAUAUAUAAGACCAUCUGCGGGCCUGCGGCUGCUGUAUGCCUGUAUGUGACUCCAUCGACGCAUCAACUGCUGUCUGUGACUCCAUUGGCUGCUGUCUGCUCCUCCACCUUGACAAUUUACGACCCUAGGUGGCUAGGUGAGUUGCGACCCCAUUGUGUAAGAGACGAAGACCAUUGCAGGUCAGUUUCUACUUCUUUGUCCCACUUUCUCUGACCCACUCCCGCUAUCGAAUAUCGAUUUCUUCUAUUUCCUUCUUCUGCUUCUUUGUCCCACUUUCUUUGACCCACUCCCACAAUCAAAUAUUGAUUUCUUUGUUCUGUUCCACACUCCCACUUUCUUUUUUUUUGUUAUGCACUUCUGCCCCACUUUCUUUACUUUGUUUAUAAUUUUUUUAGUCAUUUAGUGUUCAAUUACAAAGUUAGAAUCAGUGUUUAUUUAAAAUUUUAGAACCAAUCAAUUGUAUUUACUAUUUAGUGUUUAAUUAGAUUUACUGAUUUAGAACCACUGAACCAGUGAGUGAAGUUAUACUAUACUUUGAAGUGAAUUUUGACUUUAUUGUCUUUAUUUGAAGUAUGUAGUCUUUAACUAAGAUUUUUUAGUAUGUGAAUGACUUGUUAUUAUUUCUAUCUCUUUUUUCUAUUAUAUUUAUAUAUUUUUAACGUAAAAAUAUCUUUUCCUGCAAAACCUAUGCCUCAACGCAUCAAGGCUUACGCCUCGUCUUGGAGACAAGAUAACGCCUCGCCCUGAGUGAUGAGUAACUGUUGCAUCAGCAGAGAGAAGCUUUUCUAAGCUAAAAUUGUUGAAAAACUUUUUGAGAUCAACUAUGUCACAAGAGAGGUUGAAUGGAUUGGCCAUCUUAUGCAUUGAAAAGCAUAUGUUGAAUAAGUGUGACUUGGAGGUUGUUAUUGAUGAUUUUGCUUCUCAAAAUGUUGUGAGGUCUAAGAUAUUUAUGUGAUUUCAUGUAAUUUUUAAAAUGUAUAAUUUUUUUUUCUAAUUUUUGUAAUGACUGAUUAUAAAUUUUAUG